rnacentral:tRNA from 1 species
GGUACAGCGCCGGGGAUGAACGGAUAACUCUGAUGACGUUAACUACGAGAACUAUUUCUCCUGUACCU